AGAUUAAGUUAUUAAGGGCGCACGGUGGAUGCCUUGGCACUAGAAGCCGAUGAAGGACGUUACUAACGACGAUAUGCUUUGGGGAGCUGUAAGUAAGCUUUGAUCCAGAGAUUUCCGAAUGGGGAAACCCAGCAUGAGUUAUGUCAUGUUAUCGAUAUGUGAAUACAUAGCAUAUCAGAAGGCACACCCGGAGAACUGAAACAUCUUAGUACCCGGAGGAAGAGAAAGAAAAUUCGAUUCCCUUAGUAGCGGCGAGCGAAACGGGAAGAGCCCAAACCAACAAGCUUGCUUGUUGGGGUUGUAGGACACUCUAUACGGAGUUACAAAGGACGACAUUAGACGAAUCAUCUGGAAAGAUGAAUCAAAGAAGGUAAUAAUCCUGUAGUCGAAAAUGUUGUCUCUCUUGAGUGGAUCCUGAGUACGACGGAGCACGUGAAAUUCCGUCGGAAUCUGGGAGGACCAUCUCCUAAGGCUAAAUACUCUCUAGUGACCGAUAGUGAACCAGUACCGUGAGGGAAAGGUGAAAAGCACCCCGGAAGGGGAGUGAAAUAGAACCUGAAACCGUGUGCUUACAAGUAGUCAGAGCCCGUUAAUGGGUGAUGGCGUGCCUUUUGUAGAAUGAACCGGCGAGUUACGAUUUGAUGCAAGGUUAAGCAGUAAAUGUGGAGCCGUAGCGAAAGCGAGUCUGAAUAGGGCGUUUAGUAUUUGGUCGUAGACCCGAAACCAGGUGAUCUACCCUUGGUCAGGUUGAAGUUCAGGUAACACUGAAUGGAGGACCGAACCGACUUACGUUGAAAAGUGAGCGGAUGAACUGAGGGUAGCGGAGAAAUUCCAAUCGAACCUGGAGAUAGCUGGUUCUCUCCGAAAUAGCUUUAGGGCUAGCCUCAAGUGAUGAUUAUUGGAGGUAGAGCACUGUUUGGACGAGGGGCCCCUCUCGGGUUACCGAAUUCAGACAAACUCCGAAUGCCAAUUAAUUUAACUUGGGAGUCAGAACAUGGGUGAUAAGGUCCGUGUUCGAAAGGGAAACAGCCCAGACCACCAGCUAAGGUCCCAAAAUAUAUGUUAAGUGGAAAAGGAUGUGGCGUUGCCCAGACAACUAGGAUGUUGGCUUAGAAGCAGCCAUCAUUUAAAGAGUGCGUAAUAGCUCACUAGUCGAGUGACACUGCGCCGAAAAUGUACCGGGGCUAAACAUAUUACCGAAGCUGUGGAUUGUCCUUUGGACAAUGGUAGGAGAGCGUUCUAAGGGCGUUGAAGCAUGAUCGUAAGGACAUGUGGAGCGCUUAGAAGUGAGAAUGCCGGUGUGAGUAGCGAAAGACGGGUGAGAAUCCCGUCCACCGAUUGACUAAGGUUUCCAGAGGAAGGCUCGUCCGCUCUGGGUUAGUCGGGUCCUAAGCUGAGGCCGACAGGCGUAGGCGAUGGAUAACAGGUUGAUAUUCCUGUACCACCUAUAAUCGUUUUAAUCGAUGGGGGGACGCAGUAGGAUAGGCGAAGCGUGCGAUUGGAUUGCACGUCUAAGCAGUAAGGCUGAGUAUUAGGCAAAUCCGGUACUCGUUAAGGCUGAGCUGUGAUGGGGAGAAGACAUUGUGUCUUCGAGUCGUUGAUUUCACACUGCCGAGAAAAGCCUCUAGAUAGAAAAUAGGUGCCCGUACCGCAAACCGACACAGGUAGUCAAGAUGAGAAUUCUAAGGUGAGCGAGCGAACUCUCGUUAAGGAACUCGGCAAAAUGACCCCGUAACUUCGGGAGAAGGGGUGCUCUUUAGGGUUAACGCCCAGAAGAGCCGCAGUGAAUAGGCCCAAGCGACUGUUUAUCAAAAACACAGGUCUCUGCUAAACCGUAAGGUGAUGUAUAGGGGCUGACGCCUGCCCGGUGCUGGAAGGUUAAGAGGAGUGGUUAGCUUCUGCGAAGCUACGAAUCGAAGCCCCAGUAAACGGCGGCCGUAACUAUAACGGUCCUAAGGUAGCGAAAUUCCUUGUCGGGUAAGUUCCGACCCGCACGAAAGGCGUAACGAUUUGGGCACUGUCUCAACGAGAGACUCGGUGAAAUCAUAGUACCUGUGAAGAUGCAGGUUACCCGCGACAGGACGGAAAGACCCCGUGGAGCUUUACUGUAGCCUGAUAUUGAAAUUCGGC
rnacentral:rRNA from 1 species